GACGAACGCUGGCGGCGUGCUUAACACAUGCAAGUCGAACGGUGAACCUCUUCGGAGGGGUUCAGUGGCGAACGGGUGAGUAACACGUGGGCAACCUGCCCCCGGCUCUGGGAUAACUACAAGCAAUUGGGGCUACUACUGGCUGUUCACCGCUUCCCGCAUGGGUGGUGGUGGAAAGGGUUUCCGGCUGGGGAUGGGCCCGCGGCCUAUCAGCUUGUUGGUGGGGUAGUGGCCUACCAAGGCGACGACGGGUAGCCGGCCUGAGAGGGUGGCCGGCCACACGGGGACUGAGACACGGCCCAGACUCCUACGGGAGGCAGCAGGGGGGAAUAUGACGCAAUGGGCGGAAGCCUGACGCAGCGACGCCGCGUGGGGGAUGACGGCCUUCGGGUUGUAAACCUCUGUCAGCAGGGACGAAGCGCAAGUGACGGUACCUGCAGAAGAAGCACCGGCCAACUACGUG
rnacentral:rRNA from 1 species